rnacentral:rRNA from 1 species
AAAGCGUGCGCAGGCGGUUAUAUAAGACAGAUGUGAAAUCCCCGGGCUCAACCUGGGAACUGCAUUUGUGACUGUAUAGCUGGAGUGCGGCAGAGGGGGAUUGAAUUCCGCGUGUAGCAGUGAAAUGCGUAGAUAUGCGGAGGAACACCGAUGGCGAAGGCAAUCCCCUGGGCCUGCACUGACGCUCAUGCACGAAAGCGUGGGGAGCAAACAGGAUUAGAUACCCCGGU